CGCUAUCAGAUGAGCCUAGGUCGGAUUAGCUAGUUGGUGAGGUAAUGGCUCACCAAGGCGACGAUCCGUAACUGGUCUGAGAGGAUGAUCAGUCACACUGGAACUGAGACACGGUCCAGACUCUAUACGGGAGGCAGCAGUGGGGAAUAUUGGACAAUGGGCGAAAGCCUGAUCCAGCCAUGCCGCGUGUGUGAAGAAGGUCUUCGGAUUGUAAAGCACUUUAAGUUGGGAGGAAGGGUUGUACGUUAAUACCGUGCAAUUUUGACGUUACCGACAGAAUAAGCACCGGCUAACUCUGUGCCAGCAGCCGCGGUAAUACAGAGGGUGCAAGCGUUAAUCGGAAUUACUGGGCGUAAAGCGCGCGUAGGUGGUUUGUUAAGUUGGAUGUGAAAUCCCCGGGCUCAACCUGGGAACUGCAUCCAAAACUGGCAAGCUAGAGUAGGGCAGAGGGUGGUGGAAUUUCCUGUGUAGCGGUGAAAUG
rnacentral:rRNA from 1 species